rnacentral:rRNA from 1 species
GUGUCAGCAGCCGCGGUAAUACGAAGGGGGCUAGCGUUGUUCGGAAUUACUGGGCGUAAAGCGCACGUAGGCGGAUAUGCCAGUCAGGGGUGAAAUCCCGAGGCUCAACCUCGGAACUGCCUCCGAUACAGCAUGUCUCGAGUCCGGAAGAGGUGAGUGGAAUUCCUAGUGUAGAGGUGAAAUUCGUAGAUAUUAGGAAGAACACCAGUGGCGAAGGCGGCUCACUGGUCCGGUACUGACGCUGAGGUGCGAAAGCGUGGGGAGCAAACAGGAUUAGAAACCCUUGUAGUCC